AUACCUUUCUCGGCCUUUUGGCUAAGAUCAAGUGUAGUAUCUGUUCUUAUCAGUUUAAUAUCUGAUAUGUGGUCUAUCGGGCCACACGAUAUUAACUCUAUUUUUUAAGGGAGAAAGCCCGUUAAGAUAGCUUGCUAUCUGGGCUUUCACGAGUCGCCCAUGCGUUGCACUACUGCAUGGGCCUGGCUCAGCCCAC
rfam:Arabis alpina cultivar Pajares Aa.chr1_contig_3571, whole genome shotgun sequence.